rnacentral:rRNA from 1 species
CGGGUGAGUAAUGCGUGACCAACCUCGCCCCAUGCUCCAGAAUAGCUCUUGGAAACGGGUGGUAAUGCUGGAUGCUCCAACUUGACGCAUGUCUUGUUGGGAAAGUGUUUAGUGGCAUGGGAUGGGGUCGCGUCCUAUCAGCUUGUAGGCGGGGUAAUGGCCCACCUAGGCUUCGACGGGUAGCCGGCCUGAGAGGGCGGACGGCCACAUUGGGACUGAGAUACGGGCCCAGACUCCUACGGGAGGCAGCAGAG